GCUGGGUAGCUAUGUAGGGAAGGGAUAAACGCUGAAAGCAUCUAAGUGUGAAGCCCACCUCAAGAUGAGAUUUCCCAUUUCUUUAAGAAAGUAAGAUCCCUGAGAGAUGAUCAGGUAGAUAGGUCAGAAGUGGAAGGCCAGUGAUGGUUGGAGCGGACUGAUACUAAUCGAUCGAGGACUUAACCAA
rnacentral:rRNA from 1 species